rnacentral:rRNA from 1 species
UACGUAGGUGGCAAGCGUUGUCCGGAAUUAUUGGGCGUAAAGGGCGCGCAGGCGGCCGGUCAAGUCUGUCUUAAAAGUGCGGGGCUCAACCCCGUGAUGGGACGGAAACCGGCAGGCUGGAGUGUCGGAGAGGAAAGCAGAAUUCCUAGUGUAGCGGUGAAAUGCGUAGAUAUUAGGAGGAAUACCAGUGGCGAAAGCGGCUUUCUGGACGACAACUGACGCUGAGCGCGAGGAGGCGAUACG